rnacentral:rRNA from 1 species
UGGCGGGCGAGGGAAACCCCGCCCGUCCGCGCACCAUCCCAACUAAACUCUCGGCGCGGGACGCGCCAAGGACUACUCAAACGGAUCGCCGGCCUCCCCGCGGCUUCCGCGGGGCGAGCUGCGCGUCUGGUCGUUUAACUAAAACGACUCUCGGCAACGGAUAUCUAGGCUCUCGCAUCGAUGAAGAACGUAGCGAAAUGCGAUACUUGGUGUGAAUUGCAGAAUCCCGUGAACCAUCGAGUUUUUGAACGCAAGUUGCGCCCGAAGCCAUUAGGCUGAGGGCACGUCUGCCUGGGCGUCACGCAUCGCGUCGCCACCCCCCUCCUCGCCCCGCGCGGGAACGACGUGGGUGGCGGAUGUUGGCCGCCCGUGCCCUCCGCGGCGCGGCUGGCCUAAAUGCGAGUCCUCGGCCCGGGACGUCACGGCGAGUGGUGGUUGAACUCAUCAACUCGAGAGCCGUCGCGACGACGCCCGACGGGGAACUCUCCGACCUUGGAGCCCUUCGCGAGCCCUCGACCGCGACCCCAGGUCAGGCGGGAUUACCCGCUGA